rnacentral:rRNA from 1 species
UGAGCAAUCUGCCCUUCUCAUCGGAAUAAGCGUUGGAAACGACGUCUAAUGCCGAAUACGACCUCCUUUCGCAUGAUCGGAGGUGGAAAGCUCCGGCGGAGAAGGAUGAGCUCGCGGCCUAUCAGCUAGUUGGUGUGGGUAACGGCCCACCAAGGCGACGACGGGUAGCCGGCCUGAGAGGGUGAUCGGCCACAUUGGAACUGAGACACGGUCCAGACUCCUACGGUAGCAG